UGCAGUCGAGCGAAUGGAUUAAGAGCUUGCUCUUAUGAAGUUAGCGGCGGACGGGUGAGUAACACGUGGGUAACCUGCCCAUAAGACUGGGAUAACUCCGGGAAACCGGGGCUAAUACCGGAUAACAUUUUGAACUGCAUGGUUCGAAAUUGAAAGGCGGCUUCGGCUGUCACUUAUGGAUGGACCCGCGUCGCAUUAGCUAGUUGGUGAGGUAACGGCUCACCAAGGCAACGAUGCGUAGCCGACCUGAGAGGGUGAUCGGCCACACUGGGACUGAGACACGGCCCAGACUCCUACGGGAGGCAGCAGUAGGGAAUCUUCCGCAAUGGACGAAAGUCUGACGGAGCAACGCCGCGUGAGUGAUGAAGGCUUUCGGGUCGUAAAACUCUGUUGUUAGGGAAGAACAAGUGCUAGUUGAAUAAGCUGGCACCUUGACGGUACCUAACCAGAAAGCCACGGCUAACUACGUGCCAGCAGCCGCGGUAAUACGUAGGUGGCAAGCGUUAUCCGGAAUUAUUGGGCGUAAAGCGCGCGCAGGUGGUUUCUUAAGUCUGAUGUGAAAGCCCACGGCUCAACCGUGGAGGGUCAUUGGAAACUGGGAGACUUGAGUGCAGAAGAGGAAAGUGGAAUUCCAUGUGUAGCGGUGAAAUGCGUAGAGAUAUGGAGGAACACCAGUGGCGAAGGCGACUUUCUGGUCUGUAACUGACACUGAGGCGCGAAAGCGUGGGAGCAAACAGGAUUAGAUACCCU
rnacentral:rRNA from 1 species